GUGCUCGCUUCGGCAGCACAUAUACUAAAAUUGGAAUGAUACAGAGAUGAUUAGCAUGCCCCCUGUGCCAGGAGGACAUGGAAAUUUGUGAAACAUUCCAUUAAUUU
ensembl:snRNA U6 U6 spliceosomal RNA